rnacentral:lncRNA from 13 species
CAACUUUUUUCAAUUAACUUGACCUUUAGAAUAAGACAGAAGCUGAAUUUUUAGAUUGACUUCACUUUUCUUCCCCUACGCUUGACUGUUUUGCAUGUGCACGUUGCCAUAGUGUUAGUCUAAGGAUCUUUGGUAAGUGAUGUAACAAUACAAACAAAAAAGCAAAGAACCAUUGAGUCAGAUUUUUCUGUGUGUGUCAUCUACCCCUUGAUUGGAGAUAUGUGAGGAUGUAAUGCCUGAAGUAGUGGCAGCUACCUUGUUGACUAUAAGGAAAGAAGCCUGAAGACAAUGGUCAACAUGCCAAAGACAGCAAAAUAGAAUGAUGGAAAUCACAUGGCUCCUUCUAGCUCAGACUUCUUGCUAUGAGAGAGCCCUCCUCUCACCAUCCUGAUUAUACUUUGUGGCUUUGUACCUUGGGAUGUCUUGAGGAAGCUUUUGGUGACUGGAGCUAUACGGAUAUGAAGGGAUGGUCUCCAGCCAGAGGACUUCAGUCAUCUGCAUCCAUUAAGAUGAAUGUCCUGAUUGCGCUUCAUAACGAAUAUUCUCAGAAUGCCAGAGGCUACAUGGAACUGUGCCAAGUGCUCCAUUACACCUGUGCAGCUGGCUAAACUGAAGAACUGCUUGGGGCAAUCCUCAUGCUCUCACUAUGCUCUCAGCAAGAACACCUGGGAUUCUUCAGCCUUGCCAUGUGUGGAGAACAGCCCAAAAAUAGGCCUGCUCAGACUUCCAAGAUGGAUUGCUAGACUUUCCCAUGGCAUCCACCAUUCUACUGUGUCUCUCGAACUCCUGGACUUGAGGGAUCUUCCUGCCUCAGCCUCCUGAGUAGCUGGGAUUGCAGGUAUAAGCCAUCACAUCUAGUCUGGAGGUAUCUUCUAAACACAAAAGGCUAAAUGAAUAUGGAUGCAGAUCUGUGGUAUGUAAUUACCUGUAGCUUUCCCCAGUUCUUCACCAGGAGCACCUAUUUAACUUUCCCAAACCCUUUAGGUAAGCCAACCAAAAAUUAGAAAUCUGGAGUCUUUUUCCUUCAUGGCACCCACUAUACCAGCUCAGGGUCCAGAUGGAAUCCUAUUCUUGUUCUUGUCACCCCCAACAACAGACACAAUAUUUUACUAUCUAGAGCACAAUUUUGUCCAUACAUAAGAUUAUUAUUGAAGAGAACAAUAGGAAUGCAAUCUAUAAAAUGGGAAUUCUAGGCCCAAGUAGUUAGCUCCAAGCUCCUAGCUUCCAAGCUCUGAGUGAGUGGCAGAGUAGGUGAUUUUUUGCCUCCUGAACUCCCCAAAAUAAAUCAAUCUUUUUAUUUAUCA